CGAGCACGCGCGUGUGGCAUAUCAAUAAGCGGAGGAAAAGAAACUAACAAGGAUUCCCUUAGUAACGGCGAGUGAAGCGGGAAGAGCUCAAAUUUGAAAUCUUCAAGGUUCUACCUUGACGAAUUGUAGUUUAUAGAAGUGUUUUCUGUUAGUGGAGUGGCAAAAGUUCUUUGGAAUAGGACAUCAUAGAGGGUGAGAAUCCCGUAUUUGGUCAUUCCUCCUAGCGUUGUGAUACACUUUCAACGAGUCGGAUUGUUGGGAAUGCAGUCCAAAAUGGGUGGUAAAUUUCAUCUAAAGCUAAAUAUUGGCGAGAGACCGAUAGCGAACAAGUACCGUGAGGGAAAGAUGAAAAGAACUUUGAAAAGAGAGUUAAACAGUACGUGAAAUUGUCAAAAGGGAAGCGUUUGACACCAGUGUUGUUUAGUUGAAAAUCAAUUCAAUAGUUUUUGAUUCUAAGUAGUAUUGACUUCAUCAGCUUGCUGCUUUCUUCUCAGAAAUUAUUGAAUGCACUUUUCAGUUAACAAGUCAACAUCAAUUUCUUUUGUUGUAAAAGGGUAUGAGGAAGGUGGCUUUCUUUUCGGAGAAAGUGUUUAUAGCCUUGUGCCUCUGCAAUCGGAGAGAUUGAGGUCUGCAGCGUAGAUCCUUCGGGGUUAGAUACGUUUGUGCUAAGUUAUAGCAUUUCAUAGACAACUUGUUGACUAUGUUUAGUCUUGUAGCUUACUCGCUGACGCUAUUUUACCUACGCUUAGGAUGUUGAGUAGCGACAUACGCAC
rnacentral:rRNA from 1 species